rnacentral:rRNA from 1 species
GAUGAACGCUAGCGGCGUGCCUAAUACAUGCAAGUCGAGCGAACAGACGAGGAGCUUGCUCCUCUGACGUUAGCGGCGGACGGGUGAGUAACACGUGGAUAACCUACCUAUAAGACUGGGAUAACUUCGGGAAACCGGAGCUAAUACCGGAUAAUAUAUUGAACCGCAUGGUUCAAUAGUGAAAGACGGUUUUGCUGUCACUUAUAGAUGGAUCCGCGCCGCAUUAGCUAGUUGGUAAGGUAACGGCUUACCAAGGCAACGAUGCGUAGCCGACCUGAGAGGGUGAUCGGCCACACUGGAACUGAGACACGGUCCAGACUCCUACGGGAGGCAGCAGUAGGGAAUCUUCCGCAAUGGGCGAAAGCCUGACGGAGCAACGCCGCGUGAGUGAUGAAGGUCUUCGGAUCGUAAAACUCUGUUAUUAGGGAAGAACAAAUGUGUAAGUAACUAUGCACGUCUUGACGGUACCUAAUCAGAAAGCCACGGCUAACUACGU